rnacentral:lncRNA from 1 species
GCUUGCGGCUGCCUUGUUCAAUUGUUUGUGUUUGUGUUUGUGAUUUGUGAAGUUGUGGCUGACAGCGUGUGUGUGUGUUAGGUUUGCGUCUUUGCGAGUGAAUUGUUGAGUGCAGUGUGUGUGUGUGCUGUGCACUUGCAGCGUGUGUGUGUGCUGUGCAGUGUGCACUUGCAGCGUGUGUGUCACAGUGUCAGUGUGUGUGUUGUGCAGCUCGUGACUUGUGUGUGUUGUGCGUAUGUGACUAUGUGUGUGUGUGGAUCAGUGGCUGUGUGUGUGUGCUGU